rnacentral:rRNA from 1 species
AUUGAACGCUGGCGGCAGGCCUAACACAUGCAAGUCGAGCGGUAACAGGAAGUGCUUGCACUUCGCUGACGAGCGGCGGACGGGUGAGUAAUGCUUGGGGAUCUGCCUUUAGGUGGGGGGUAACUACUGGAAACGGUAGCUAAUACCGCAUGAUAUCUACGGAUCAAAGAUAGCCUCUGAAUAUGCUAUCGCCUAGAGAUGAACCCAAGUGGGAUUAGGUAGUUGGUGAGGUAACGGCUCACCAAGCCGACGAUCCCUAGCUGGUCUGAGAGGAUGAUCAGCCACACUGGAACUGAGACACGGUCCAG